UACGUAGGGUGCAAGCGUUAAUCGGAAUUACUGGGCGUAAAGCGUGCGCAGGCGGUUUGUAAGUCUGUCGUGAAAUCCCCGGGCUCAACCUGGGAACUGCAUUUGUGACUGCAAGGCUAGAGUACGGUAGAGGGGAUGGAAUUCCGCGUGUAGCAGUGAAAUGCGUAGAUAUGCGGAGGAACACCGAUGGCGAAGGCAAUCCCCUGGACCUGUACUGACGCUCAUGCACGAAGCG
rnacentral:rRNA from 1 species